UUUAAAUGGCCGCAGUAUUUUAACUGUGCAAAGGUAGCAUAAUCAUUAGUCUUUUAAUUGAAGGCUGGUAUGAAUGGUUGGACGAGGUAUUAACUGUUUCAUGUAAAUUUUUAUUAGAAUUUUAUUUUUUAGUUAAAAAGCUAAAAUAAAUUUAAAAGACGAGAAGACCCUAUAAAUCUUUAUAUUUUAUAAUUUAUAAUUUUAUAGAUUUUUUUUAUUAUAAAUUUGAAUAAUAUUUUAUUGGGGUGAUAUUAAAAUUUAAUAAACUUUUAAUUUUUUUAAAUCAUUAAUUAAUGAAUAAAUGAUCCGUUAUUAACGAUUAAAAAUUUAAGUUACUUUAGGGAUAACAGCGUAAUUUUUUUGGAGAGUUCUUAUCAAUAAAAAAGAUUGCGACCUCGAUGUUGGAUUAAGAGAUAAUUUUAGGUGUAGGUGCUUAAAUUUUAAGUCUGUUCGACUUUUAAUUUCUU
rnacentral:rRNA from 1 species